UGGGUACUAAUUGUAUUUUUCGAUGGGGUAUUUUAUUACUUAAAUUCGUUGGAUGAGAAGUGUAGAUACAAACUAGAGGAGCAAAUGAGCACUGUUUCAAAAGCUUUAAGAAAAUUAGGUGUCAAGCGAUCUGAAGAGAAAGUAUUCUGGGUGGACGUGAAGAAUUGAUACAUGCAGCACAACCCUAAACAAAAAGGAGAUUGGGAGUGUGGAUUUUUUGUGAUGCUAUAUAUGAAGCACAUUAUAGAAAGUUAUGACACUUCAAUGAGGAACCCUAAGGAGAUGUUUAAGUCGGGGAUGAACUAUGG